rnacentral:rRNA from 1 species
CCUACGGGUGGCUGCAGUGGGGAAUAUUGCACAAUGGGGGAAAGUCUGAUGCAGCGACGCCGCGUGAGUGAAGACGUAUUUCUGUACGUAAAGCUCUAUCAGCAGGGAAGAAAAUGACGGUACCUGACUUAGAAUCCCCGGCUAACUACGUGCCAGAAGCCGCGGUAAUACGUAGGGGGCAAGCGUUAUCCGGAUUUACUGGGGCUAAAGGGAGCGUAGACGGCAGCGGAAGUCUGGAGUGAAAUGCCAUGGCUUAACCAUGGAACUGCUUUGGAAACUGUGCAGCGAGAGUGCAGGAGAGGUAAGCGGAAUGUCUAGUGUAGCGGUGAAAUGCGUAGAUAUUAGGAGGAACACCAGUGGCGAAGGCGGCUUACUGGACUGUAACUGACGUUGAGGCUCGAAAGCGUGGGGAGCAAACAGGAUUAGAUACCCGGGUAGUC